UACGUAGGGUGCAAGCGUUAAUCGGAAUUACUGGGCGUAAAGCGUGCGCAGGCGGUUGUGCAAGACAGAUGUGAAAUCCCCGGGCUCAACCUGGGAACUGCAUUUGUGACUGCACGGCUAGAGUGUGUCAGAGGGGGGUAGAAUUCCACGUGUAGCAGUGAAAUGCGUAGAUAUGUGGAGGAACACCGAUGGCGAAGGCAGCCCCCUGGGAUAACACUGACGCUCAUGCACGAAAGCGUGGGGAGCAAACAGG
rnacentral:rRNA from 1 species